UUAACCAAGCAUUAGACGAACAAGAUUAUAUAUACCUUGAAUGUUUGAACUCACAUAUUUCUUUAAAUAAUGUACGUGUUGUAAUUAUGCAAUUUACUUUCCUUUACUUUCAUGCAUGGAAUCUAGCGCAUUUCUAAUACUAAUCUUCAGUUCUCAAGACAAUCUACACACAGUGCUGUGGAAACAUAUGAGCUUGCAACCAUUAAUACACAUUUUAUUGCAGGUAAAAUAGAAUCGAAAAGCUUUCAAGUUUGUGGAAAGAUACGACACUGUCGCACCAAAGUUACAAGAUGAAAGGAUGGAAAGAAAACAAAAGAAAUGCAUGUCCAGUUCAAAGAUGAAGACAGUGAUGAAACCUAUAAUAGCACUUGCAAAACUGAGUGGACUUCUAAGACAAAGCCGAACAAACAGGUGUUAAAUGUUGAUCCCUCCUCGAGGGUGAUGGAGCCACUGUACGAAAUACAGGAUUCAACGAGGCGAACACAUCGUGCUAAAUUGACAGAAGUCAGAAGAGGGUGUAUAGUGUUUGUGUUUGAGCACGAAACCAGAGAUGAUAAAGAGGCAUCAGGAAUUAGAACACCUGAUAUUACACUGAUUGCGUGAAUUCGACUCAGAAGUUGAGGACAUAACCCUUCACAUAAAGCUACAAGACCUGAGUGAGUAUGAAAGGAAAGUGGAUACAAGAGAGCCCAGUCCACUGAAAAGGAAAACAAUUUUCAGCGAUUCGAUAUCAACAGGAAAAGAUUAUCUAUAUGCUGAUACAUCUCUGACAUCUUCA